AGACAUAUGGCUUAACUUCCACCUGUGAUGAAAGAAGAAGAGAAAAUGUACACAUUUCUUAAGUUUGGCCUUGUUAGACAAAAGUGUAGUCCAGGUGUGUGUGUUUUUACUCUUCAUAUAUUUCUACCAUCCAACUAUAGAUACUACAGAUACCUCAGUGAACACUCUCCUGCGCAGUAAAAAGAGCUUUGCUGGAUCAGACUGUACAUGGAACUAGCUAAGGAUUUUUUUCCCUAGGACUGGCUGAACAAGCAAAACAGAAAAGCAGUAGCUUUCCUCUGUUGUAUGGUCUCCAUCAAAAGAUGUAUUAAAUACUGCACAAAGAUCCUGACAGGCUGGCUUCACCCUUCAGCUGGGUCCAGCUCACUGGACAAUCGUAUACCAAUCAUUAUCACGCAAAUGUGAAAAGAAUAAAAUUGGGGUCUAGAACAUAUCGCCUGUUCGGAGUCCGUGUGGAGAACGCAAGAAAAAACCGCCUCAGGAAAUUACAUUUCUUUUGAACGAAACAUAUUUACCAUACGUGAAGAUAUCAGAGUUCCAGAGGCACAUGUGGACCACAGAAUCAGAAAAAUGACCCCAAAUCAGAAAAAUUGGAAAGUGCAACUUAUUCCUACCAUUUCAUCAUUAGAAGGUAGGAGAAUUGAACCAAAUUCAUUUGCUAUUUAAAAUAAAUUUCAAAAGAUAUUCUGUAUCAAAUUGUUAAAAUUUAACUGCCAAUGCAUAAAUAAACCAGUUAAUUAAUCCUGACUCCAUUUACACACCAUGUGAAUAAAUGCUUUGGCUAUAAAUGUGAUUUAACAACUGUGUAUGUAUGUACUGUAUGUAUACAUGUCUAUACAUGUAAAAUAUCUGUAACUGUUAAAGUAUGGAUGUCCACAGAUAAAUUCUGAAUUUUAAGAAGA